UACGUAGGGCGCAAGCGUUGUCCGGAAUUAUUGGGCGUAAAGAGCUCGUAGGUGGCUUGUCACGUCGGGUGUGAAAGCUUGGGGCUUAACUCCAGGUCUGCAUUCGAUACGGGCUGGCUAGAGGUAGGUAGGGGAGAACGGAAUUCCUGGUGUAGCGGUGAAAUGCGCAGAUAUCAGGAGGAACACCGGUGGCGAAGGCGGUUCUCUGGCCUUACCUGACGCUGAGGAGCGAAAGCGUGGGGAGCGAACAGG
rnacentral:rRNA from 1 species